AUGAGAACAGACAGAAAGUACACACAAUACUUCAAAUAACAACCAAAAUAAGUUAGUUACACGUAUAACUUAGAUAAAAUGGUAAUCACAGCUAGAAGCUCUACAAGUGUAACCACAACCACAAGCUCUACAUGUUUCUACAAGUGUACCACAAGCUCUACAAGUGCGCUUUGACAGCUUCAAGUGACCCUUCAUGACGGUAGGAAGAUGGUUUCUACCAGUCCCGAUUUAAGGAACACACCAGGCAUCACGGUCUUCCCGAUAGUGCUGACCAAGAUCUCAUCCUUCAUGGGCAUCAAAGUGAUGCAGCUGAAUGUGCCAGGAAAAGGAUUACCUGUCAACAGCCGAAUUUAUACAAGAUAUCAACCUUUCAGUGGUGCAGAAUAUCAUAGAGACACGUGCUUCAGCAUUACAGGGCAUGGAAACGAAAACACAUUUUUACAAAGGGCAUACAAUUAAGAAUUUACUAUCCCCAAAAUUAAAUUAGAAAAAACGAAAAAAACAAUGAAGUGUAAAAGAUGACAACCUUUGUGUUUCUACUUCCUACAAAUGACUAAGAUCCUCAAUAAUAUAGACCCGUUUGUUACAUACUGUACACGAUAUUAGGAGCAAAAUUCUAAUAAAUUCAUUACAGGCUUGCCAAUAAAAAUGACAAGUUACCUACAGACCAGGGAACAUAAAAUUGAGAGGUUGAGAUAAAGGUUUAUCAACUACAUCAUAUAUAUGCAUUAGAAACAAGCCCAUAUGGACAAAUGCAUCAUAAUUAUUAGUUGAAAGUAGGUGCUGCCUCAAAUUUAAAAACUCAACCAUUCAUCAUUAAGAGUAGCGAUUUAAUCUUACUAGACAUAGGGACAUGUACAACGUGAGAGCACACUACAGCCAGAACUUACACGCAAAGAUCCUGGAAUUUUAUGCACAACAACAGCUGAUUAGUCGCUUACUACCGUAGACGAGACGUCAUCCUCAACUACUAGCACACUACCUGCAUCAACCAGAAUAACUAGACUGAGAUUGCAUCAUGGAAACUAGAAUUGGCAAUCGAUUGUUCCACAGUAAUAGAAAAAAAAUACAUGGUCAGUACCUUGCCAUCGUGUUGAUUUGGGACAUCCUCCAUCUUAAAAACUGUCGUGCCAGGGAUGGUGGUGCCUAGUUUUCACUAUUUCUGUUCAUGCUUGC
rnacentral:lncRNA from 1 species